rnacentral:rRNA from 1 species
CCUACGGGAGGCAGCAGUGAGGAAUAUUGGUCAAUGGACGAGAGUCUGAACCAGCCAAGUAGCGUGAAGGAUGAAGGUCCUACGGAUUGUAAACUUCUUUUAUAAGGGAAUAAAACCUCCCACGUGUGGGAGCUUGUAUGUACCUUAUGAAUAAGCAUCGGCUAACUCCGUGCCAGCAGCCGCGGUAAUACGGAGGAUGCGAGCGUUAUCCGGAUUUAUUGGGUUUAAAGGGAGCGCAGACGGGUCGUUAAGUCAGCUGUGAAAGUUUGGGGCUCAACCUUAAAAUUGCAGUUGAUACUGGCGUCCUUGAGUGCGGUUGAGGUGUGCGGAAUUCGUGGUGUAGCGGUGAAAUGCUUAGAUAUCACGAAGAACUCCGAUUGCGAAGGCAGCACACUAAGCCGUAACUGACGUUCAUGCUCGAAAGUGUGGGUAUCAAACAGGAU